rnacentral:misc_RNA from 1 species
ACAAACUUGGUCAUUUAGAGGAAGUAAAAGUCGUAACAAGGUUUCCGUAGGUGAACCUGCGGAAGGAUCAUUAAAGAAUAAAUCAGGUCAAGUUGUUGCUGGUCUCUCGGGGCAAUGUGCACAUUUGACUCUGUUUAUUUCUAAACCCCUUGUGCACCUUUUGUAGACUUGGAAUGUUCUUCGAGAGCAAUCUUGGUUCCAAGGGUUUGCUGCUGCCUGCUGUAUUGUAAUUUGUAUGUGCAAGCCAGCUCUCCCUGUAUUCCUGUCUAUGUUUUUUAUUCACUCUUUGAAAAUAUUUGAAGAAUGCUUGUUUGGGCUUUCAUUGCCUUUAAUACAUAAUACAACUUUCAACAACGGAUCUCUUGGCUCUCGCAUCGAUGAAGAACGCAGC